rnacentral:tRNA from 1 species
GCCGGGGUCGCCUAGCCUGGUUAGGGCGGCGGCCUGCUAUUUUAAUCAAGCAGGUAGCCGUUGGGGGUCACCCCGCGCGGGUUCAAGUCCCGCCCCCGGCG